rnacentral:pre_miRNA from 1 species
GAUAUGCAUGUGGCGGCACCGAGCAUGAGGCAACAACUGCAUUACUUGCGGGGAAGGCGCAAGUAGGACACCUGCAUUACUUGCAAACAAGGCGCACCAUACUUGUGGCUUUCUUGCAAGUCGUGCAGUUGCUGCCUCAAGCUUGCUGCCUCCACAUGUAUA